rnacentral:rRNA from 1 species
GACGAACGCUGGCGGGGUGCUUACCACAUGAAAGUCGAACGGUAAGGCCCUCCGGGGUACACGAGUGGCGAACGGGUGAGUAACACGUGGGUGAUCUGCCAUGCACUUCGGGAUAAGCCGGGGAAACUGGGUCUAAUACCGGAUAGAACCACUGCCUGCAUGGGUGGGGGUGGAAAGCUUUUGCGGUGUGGGAUGGGCCCGCGGCCUCUCAGCUUGUUGGUGGGGUGAUGGCCUACCAAGGCGACGACGGGUAGCCGGCCUGAGAGGGUGACCGGCCACACUGGGACUGAGAUACGGCCCAGACUCCUACGGGAGGCAGCAGUGGGGAAUAUUGCACAAUGGGCGCAAGCCUGAUGCAGCGACGCCGCGUGAGGGAUGACGGCCUUCGGGUUGUAAACCUCUUUCAGCACCGACGAAGCGCAAGUGACGGUAGGUGCAGAAGAAGGACCGGCCAACUACGUGCCAGCCGCCGCUGUAA